rnacentral:rRNA from 5 species
GGGUUGUGAGGUUAAGCGACUAAGCGUACACGGUGGAUGCCCUGGCAGUCAGAGGCGAUGAAGGGCGUGCUAAUCUGCGAUAAGCGCCGGUAAGGUGAUAUGAACCGUUAUAACCGGCGAUACCCGAAUGGGGAAACCCAGUGUGACUCGUCACACUAUCAUUAACUGAAUCCAUAGGUUAAUGAGGCGAACCGGGGGAACUGAAACAUCUAAGUACCCCGAGGAAAAGAAAUCAACCGAGAUUCCCCCAGUAGCGGCGAGCGAACGGGGAGGAGCCCAGAGCCUGAAUCAGCAUGUGUGUUAGUGGAAGCGUCUGGAAAGGCGCGCGAUACAGG